CCCGGGGCGGCGGAGCCAUGGAGCCCGCGGGGCCGGAGCCCUCGCUGUACACGGUGAAGGCCCUGCUCAUCCUGGACAGCCACGGGCAGCGCCUCCUGGCCAAGUACUACGACAGCACCUUCCCCACGGCCAAGGAGCAGGCGGCCUUCGAGAGCAGCGUCUUCAGCAAGACCCAGCGGGCGGGCGGUGAGAUCACCUCUCUGGAAGGACUCACCGUCGUCUACAGGAGCAGCGUCGACCUCUUCUUCUACGUGCUGAUGCUGUCGGCCGUGCUCGCCUGCCUCCUCGACACCCUGGGCCACCUCCUGCGGAAGGAGGUGGAGAAGUGCUGGCUGCUGGACAACAUGGAGGGAACCUUCCUGGUGGUGGACGAGAUCGUGGACAGGGGGGUGAUCCUGGAGAGCGACCCCCAGCAAGUGAUCCAGCGGCUGAGCCUGCGGGCCCCGGAGCCGGCAGCGUAUGGCUUCGUCCUCUUCGACUACCUGGCAGGCAGCUCGGAGCGGAGGGACACGGGGGGUACCGGCGGCCACGAAUAGCACCGAGGGCACCCAGCGGGUCCCCUUCGCCCUGUUCCUCAAGCUGCUGGUCCCCUUCCCUCCCCCAGAGCGAUGACAGCCCUGUGUCGGAGCAGAGCACGGCCCAGCAGGAGGUGUGCCCCCCCCCCCCCCCGGCCAAGGGAACCCAGGCAUCCGGCCGGGACGGGCACCCCAAGGUCAGCCUGGCCCCAGCCCCAUCCCAGGGGUCUCGUACCAGCUCUUGCAGCCCACCAAGGAGCACGUCAAGCCACCCCCGCUGACGUGACAGCUCCGGGGUCUCCCCUCAGAGGGGCUGGCUGGAAAGGUGGGACCCCAGCACCGGGGGACACCGGGCAGCAGGACACACGGACGUUCCCCAGCAUCCCCCCUGCUUUGACCCCAGCCCGGACCCCGCGCUCCAGCCUGGAUCCCCAGGAUGGCUCCUGCCCAGCUACGCCGCCUCCAGAAGCCCUUUGCCAGGUCUCGUAUCCGCCCCCGACGUUAAUAAUAUCAAGGGAAAAAUUAAGCGCUAAUGAAGGAGAAUUGAUUCACUGUUUCCACUCGCUCCCGGCUGGAGCCAGCUACAAAUAAAGUUUCCAUCCCAAUUUAGUGUCCUCUCUCCGUCAGCCACAUCAGGUGGUGGGUCCCAUGGGCACAUUGCC